GCGAUUCUCCUGCCUCAGUCUCCCACGUAGCUGGGACUACAGCGUGUCCCCGAGAAAGUGUCGGAGCCUUUACCUCGACCUUCCCAUGAAAAAGGGAACAGAAUAGUCAACGGAAAAGGAGAAGGUGAGAACCGUAUUUUAUUGAAAAAGUCAUUGGACGGAACGCUUCUUUUCAAAUACGAGUACCAAGAUAGUCUAAUAGCUAAAUAAAAUGUCCUGUUAACUGUAUAAUAAGUAAAGGAGAAGUCAAAUGGUGAUAAGUUGUGUCUCUAACCAAGGGUCCGCAGUUGAUGCUACUGCGAGUACCACUAAAGGAACUGAGUUAUGAGUUCCAUUUUAAGAUACUCUAAGACCUGAGGCAAGUCAAGAAAGAGGGGAGAGGAAAUGAAUAAAACAGAAAGAAGGCAUGAGGAGGGCGGAGGAGUGUACAUGGAAU